rnacentral:rRNA from 1 species
UUCCGGUUGAUCCUGCCGGAGGCUACCGCUAUUGGAGUUCGAUUAAGCCAUGCGAGUCGAGAGUCUUAGGGACUCGGCGUACCGCUCAGUAACACGUGGGUAACCUGCCCUAUGCUGGGGAAUAACCUCGGGAAACUGAGAAUAAUGCCCCAUAGUCCACUACGCCUGGAACGGUGAGUGGAUCAAAGCUCCGGCGGCAUAGGAUGGGCCUGCGCCGUAUCAGGUUGUAGGGGGUGUAAAGUACCCUCUAGCCAUCAACGCGUACGGGUGUUGGGAGACAUUGCCCGGAGAUGGAUUCUGAGACACGAAUCCAGACCCUACGGGGUGCAGCAGGCGCGAAAACUUGGCAAUGCGAGCAAUCGUGACCAGGGAACUCCAAGUGCUUGGGGUAAGACCCAAGCUUUUCUUGACUCUUCAAAGGUCUUGGAAUAAGGGGUGGGUAAGGACGGUGCCAGCCGCCGCGGUAAUACCGGCGCCUCAAGUGGUAGUCGCUUUUAUUGGGCCUAAAACGUCCGUAGCCGGUCUGGUGCAUUCGUGGGUAAAUCAACCCGCUCAACGGGUUGAAUUCUGCGAGCACGGCCAGACUAGGGACCGGGAGAGGUGUGGGGUACUCUCGGGGUAGGGGUAAAAUCCUGUCAUCCUGAGAGGACCACCUGUUGCGAAGGCUCCACACUAGAACGGAUCCGACGGUCAGGGACGAAGCCUAGGGGCACGAACCGGAUUAGAUACCCGGGUAGUCCUAGGUGUAAACGCUGUGGACUUGAUGUUGGGGACGCUCCGAGCGUUCCCAGUGUCGAAGCGAAGGUGAUAAGUCCACUGCCUGGGGAGUACGGUCGCAAGGCUGAAACUUAAAGGAAUUGGCGGGGGAGCACCGCAACCUGAGGAUUGUGCGGUUUAAUUGGAUUCAACGCCGGG